rnacentral:rRNA from 1 species
CCAACCGGGAUUGCCUCAGUAACGGCGAGUGAAGCGGCAAGAGCUCAAAUUUGAAAUCUGGCCCCCUCGGGGUCCGAGUUGUAAUUUGCAGAGGAUGCUUCGGGUGCGGCCCCCGUCUAAGUGCCCUGGAACGGGCCGUCAUAGAGGGUGAGAAUCCCGUCUGGGACGGGGUGUCCGCGUCCGUGUGAAGCUCCUUCGACGAGUCGAGUUGUUUGGGAAUGCAGCUCUAAAUGGGUGGUAAAUUUCAUCUAAAGCUAAAUACUGGCCGGAGACCGAUAGCGCACAAGUAGAGUGAUCGAAAGAUGAAAAGCACUUUGAAAAGAGAGUUAAAAAGCACGUGAAAUUGUUGAAAGGGAAGCGCUUGCGACCAGACUCGCCCGCGGGGUUCAGCCGGCAUUCGUGCCGGUGUACUUCCCCGUGGGCGGGCCAGCGUCGGUUUGGGCGGCCGGUCAAAGGCCUCCGGAAUGUAGCACCCUUCGGGGUGCCUUAUAGCCGGGGGUGCAAUGCGGCCAGCCUGGACCGAGGAACGCGCUUCGGCACGGACGCUGGCAUAAUGGUCGUAAACGACCCGUCUUGAAAC